GCCCGGGGCUCCCACUCCUACCUGGGGGAACCUCCUCCCGGGCUCUGGCCUCUGGGAUUCGCCAUCCCAGGCCUGGUAACUGUCUGAAGGUCCUCAAAGCUCUUGGGGAGAGUGAGGGCUUGCCCUGCAGUUUUCUCUUCCGUGAGGGAGAAUGCCAGCCGAGUAAGCAUGGGCUCUCCUGCCUCUGGGCUCCAGGAGUCUGGAGCCGUGGAGAUGGGCACACUGGCCGGUGAAGAGGCCUGACUCUCAUGACCCUGUCUGGCCUGGCGUUGAGGUUAAUCCACAGCUCAAUUCGAUUCCCACCAAAGCCUGCGAGUCCCCGGUUCACCAGAUCUUUCCACUAAGGAUUCACCCACUUAAAAAAAAAUCCUCGAAGGGGCCAGGCCUGCCGCACUGUCAGCUCAGGAUGUGGACAUCUUACACCGAGACCCACCCCCUCCCGCACAACCAGCCUUCCCCCCCAAUCCCAGUAGCAUCGCAGCGCACAGGGGGCCCGGGAAGCGCAGCCACAGAGAAAGCGCCUUAAUAAAGAGUCGUGUCAAGUGAUUGGCUGUGACCUCUGCCCUCCUAGCCUCGCCCGGGGCUCCAGCUUAACCCUUCGUUGUCCGUCCAGUGCUUGGGGAGGAACGAAUGAGUUGCCUUGUGCUCACUCACUUCAGGCGUCCCCAGGCAUUACUCGAACCC